AGAGUUUGAUCAUGGCUCAGAUUGAACGCUGGCGGCAUGCCUUACACAUGCAAGUCGAACGGCAGCACGGGAGCUUGCUCCUGGUGGCGAGUGGCGAACGGGUGAGUAAUAUAUCGGAACGUACCCUAGAGUGGGGGAUAACGCAGCGAAAGUUGCGCUAAUACCGCAUACGAUCUACGGAUGAAAGUGGGGGAUCGCAAGACCUCAUGCUCAUGGAGCGGCCGAUAUCUGAUUAGCUAGUUGGUAGGGUAAAAGCCUACCAAGGCUUCGAUCAGUAGCUGGUCUGAGAGGACGACCAGCCACACUGGAACUGAGACACGGUCCAGACUCCUACGGGAGGCAGCAGUGGGGAAUUUUGGACAAUGGGCGCAAGCCUGAUCCAGCAAUGCCGCGUGAGUGAAGAAGGCCUUCGGGUUGUAAAGCUCUUUUGUCAGGGAAGAAACGGUGGACUCUAAUACAGAUCACUAAUGACGGUACCUGAAGAAUAAGCACCGGCUAACUACGUGCCAGCAGCCGCGGUAAUACGUAGGGUGCAAGCGUUAAUCGGAAUUACUGGGCGUAAAGCGUGCGCAGGCGGUUGUGCAAGACAGAUGUGAAAUCCCCGGGCUCAACCUGGGAAUUGCAUUUGUGACUGCACGGCUAGAGUGUGUCAGAGGGGGGUAGAAUUCCACGUGUAGCAGUGAAAUGCGUAGAGAUGUGGAGGAAUACCGAUGGCGAAGGCAGCCCCCUGGGAUAACACUGACGCUCAUGCACGAAAGCGUGGGGAACAAACAGGAUUAGAUACCCUGGUAGUCCACGCCCUAAACGAUGUCUACUAGUUGUUGGGUCUUAAUUGACUUAGUAACGCAGCUAACGCGUGAAGUAGACCGCCUGGGGAGUACGGUCGCAAGAUUAAAACUCAAAGGAAUUGACGGGGACCCGCACAAGCGGUGGAUGAUGUGGAUUAAUUCGAUGCAACGCGAAAAACCUUACCUACCCUUGACAUGUACGGAAUCCCUGAGAGAUUAGGGAGUGCUCGAAAGAGAGCCGUAACACAGGUGCUGCAUGGCUGUCGUCAGCUCGUGUCGUGAGAUGUUGGGUUAAGUCCCGCAACGAGCGCAACCCUUGUCAUUAGUUGCUACGAAAGGGCACUCUAAUGAGACUGCCGGUGACAAACCGGAGGAAGGUGGGGAUGACGUCAAGUCCUCAUGGCCCUUAUGGGUAGGGCUUCACACGUCAUACAAUGGUACAUACAGAGGGCCGCCAACCCGCGAGGGGGAGCUAAUCCCAGAAAGUGUAUCGUAGUCCGGAUUGUAGUCUGCAACUCGACUACAUGAAGUUGGAAUCGCUAGUAAUCGCGGAUCAGCAUGUCGCGGUGAAUACGUUCCCGGGUCUUGUACACACCGCCCGUCACACCAUGGGAGCGGGUUUCACCAGAAGUAGGUAGCCUAACCGUAAGGAGGGCGCUUACCACGGUGGGAUCCGUGACUGGGGUGAAGUCGUAACAAGGUA
rnacentral:rRNA from 1 species